rnacentral:rRNA from 1 species
GACAGAGGUCCCGAGCGUUAGGCGGAAUCACUGGGCUUAAAGCGUGUGUAGGCGGAUUUGUAAGUACCUUGUGAAAUCCCACGGCUCAACCGUGGAACUGCUUGGUAUACUGCUUAUCUUGAGCCACCUAGGGGCAACCGGAACAAGCGGUGGAGCGGUGAAAUGCGUAGAUAUCGCUUGGAACGCCGAAGGUGAAAACAGGCUGCUGGGGUUGCGCCGACGCUGAGACACGAAAGCCAGGGGAGCAAACGGG